rnacentral:rRNA from 1 species
UCAAUAAGCGGAGGAAAAGAAACUAACAAGGAUUCCCUUAGUAACUGCGAGUGAAGAGGGAAAAGCUCAAAUUUAAAAUCUGGCAGUGUUUCACUGUCCGAGUUGUAACCUAGAGAAGUGUAACCUGUGCUGGACCGUGUAUAAGUCUCCUGGAAUGGAGCAUCAUAGAGGGUGAGAAUCCCGUCUUUGACAUGGACUACCAGUGCAUUGUGGUUGCGCUCUCAACGAGUCGAGUUGUUUGGGAAUGCAGCUCUAAAUGGGUGGUAAAUUCCAUCUAAAGCUAAAUAUUGGCGAGAGACCGAUAGCGAACAAGUACCGUGAGGGAAAGAUGAAAAGAACUUUGGAAAGAGAGUUAAACAGUAUGUGAAAUUGUUGAAAGGGAAACGUUUGAAGUCAGUCGCGUUGGUUGGGGAUCAGCCUGACAUUGUUGGGUGUACUUCCUGGUUGACGGGCCAACAUCAGUUUUGACUGCCAGAAAAAGGCCAAAGGAAUGUGGCACCUUUGGGUGUGUUAUAGCCCUUGGUCGUAUAUGGUGGUUGGGACUGAGGAAAGCAGCGUGCCGAAAGGCCGGGUUUCGACCACGUUCACGCUGAGGAUGUUGGCAUAAUGGCUUUAAGCGACCCGUCUUGA